rnacentral:rRNA from 1 species
UACGUAGGUGGCAAGCGUUGUCCGGAUUUAUUGGGUUUAAAGGGUGCGUAGGCGGCCUUUUAAGUCAGUGCUGAAAUCCUCUAGCUUAACUAGAGGGGUGGCAUUGAUACUGAAAGGCUUGAGUGAAGUCGAAGUAGGCGGAAUUGACGGUGUAGCGGUGAAAUGCUUAGAUAUCGUCAAGAACACCGAUAGUGAAGACAGCUUACUAGACUUCAACUGACGCUGAGGCACGAAAGUGUGGGGAUCAAACAGG